UCGGGAAUUUUGGGCAAUGGCCGAAAGGGCUGACCCAGCAACGCCGCGUGAGUGAAGAAGGCCUUCGGUUGUAAAGCUCUGUUGCCCGUGAAGAACGGUGCUUUCAGGAAAUGGGGAGCACUUGACGGUAGCGGGAGAGGAAGCUCCGGCUAACUACGUGCCAGCAGCCGCGGUAAUACGUAGGGAGCGAGCGUUGUCCGGAUUUAUUGGGCGUAAAGGGCGUGUAGGCGGCUUUCUAAGUCUGAAGUGAAAAUCCAGGGCUCAACCCUGGAACUGCUUCGGAUACUGGAGAGCUUGAGUACUCUAGAGGGCAGUGGAAUUCCCGGUGUAGCAGUGAAAUGCGUAGAGAUCGGGAGGAACACCAGUGGCGAAGGCGACUGCCUGGGAGAAACUGACGCUGAGGCGCGAAAGCUGGGGGAGCGAAACGGGGAUUAGAUACCCCGGUAGUCCCAGCCGUAAACGAUAGAGUGCUAGGUGUAGGGGUAUCGACCCCCGCUGU
rnacentral:rRNA from 1 species